rnacentral:rRNA from 1 species
AUUGAACGCUGGCGGAAUGCUUUACACAUGCAAGUCGAACGGCAGCACGGGGGCAACCCUGGUGGCGAGUGGCGAACGGGUGAGUAAUACAUCGGAACGUGCCCGGUCGUGGGGGAUAACGUAGCGAAAGUUACGCUAAUGCCGCAUACGAUCUGAGGAUGAAAGCGGGGGACCUUCGGGCCUCGCGCGAUCGGAGCGGCCGAUGUCAGAUUAGGUAGUUGGUGGGGUAAAGGCCUACCAAGCCGACGAUCUGUAGCUGGUCUGAGAGGACGACCAGCCACACUGGGACUGAGACACGGCCCAGACUCCUACGGGAGGCAGCAGUGGGGAAUUUUGGACAAUGGGCGCAAGCCUGAUCCAGCCAUUCCGCGUGCAGGACGAAGGCCUUCGGGUUGUAAACUGCUUUUGUAUGGAACGAAAAGGCUCUGGCUAAUACCUGGGGCUCAUGACGGUACCGUAAGAAUAAGCACCGGCUAACUACGUG